rnacentral:lncRNA from 1 species
AACAUCCUACAAAACAGCCACAUUAGUUUACAAGUCAAGUAAGAUAAUCCCAAAUGUGAAACAAUUCCUUUAAUCAUUAACUUCUUAACCUGAAAAGCCAAAAACAACUUCAAAUGUAAGUAAUAAGACCACUAGGACUAGCCUAGGGUCCAAAAGAAGGAAAAAUCCUAAAACAGCAACCAAUUCAUGAUCAAAGUCAAGCUAUUUCAACAACAAAGGGAUCCCAAUUGGUCCCAUAUCCAAAAUAUGUACACAUCUCAAUCUAUGCAACAUGUAAGGCAAAGUGAGCAAUGUUAAACCACAUAUGAGCAACCAGCAAGAUCACAUCACAAAA